rnacentral:rRNA from 1 species
GCCUACGGGGCGCAGCAGUGAGGAAUAUUGGUCAAUGGACGUAAGUCUGAACCAGCCAUGCCGCGUGCAGGAAGACGGCUCUAUGAGUUGUAAACUGCUUUUGUACAAGGGUAAACCUGAAUACGUGUAUUCAGCUGAAAGUACCGUACGAAUAAGGAUCGGCUAACUCCGUGCCAGCAGCCGCGGUAAUACGGAGGAUCCAAGCGUUAUCCGGAUUGAUUGGGUUUAAAGGGUGCGUAGGCGGAUUGAUAAGUUAGAGGUGAAGUGUACGAGCCCAACUCG